rnacentral:rRNA from 1 species
UACAGAGGGUGCGAGCGUUGUCCGGAAUCACUGGGCGUAAAGGGCGCGUAGGUGGCGCUGCAAGUCGGUGGUGAAAGCUCGAUGCUUAACAUCGAGUCGGCCAUCGAAACUGCAGGGCUCGAGCGCUGUAGGGGCAGAUGGAAUUCCGGGUGUAGCGGUGGAAUGCGUAGAGAUCAGCAGGAACACCAGUGGCGAAGGCGGCCCCCUGGGCCGUACCUGACGCUGAGGCGCGAAGGCUAGGGGAGCGAACCGG